rnacentral:misc_RNA from 1 species
AGGAACUUCGUGUCCUA